ensembl:lncRNA
UUACUCCGAGUGUGACUUUAAUCAGAUUAAGGUCAUCGAGAAUCUCCGUUUACAUGCUAGUGUCGUAAUCAGAGUAUCGUCUUAAUCGGGUUCGUAUGGGAUUAUCGUCGUCCGUGUGAACGCACUGAGUGAAACCGUGGAACAUUUUAGUGUGUUGGUGAUGUAGUAAAAAUUCCAUACACUACCAUUAUACACUUUUUAAACUCUGUGUUGUUUUCACUGUUAAAUGUUAAAAUACAUUAAAAAAAAAAAAAAAAAAAUUCCCGAACAUGAAUUCCUGAAUUUUGUAUUCUUAGACCUAGAAUUAUUUUUAUUUAUUGAAUUUUUAAAUUUUUAAACGGCUUGACAUUAUUGACAGGAAUUAUUUUAGAAAAUUUCGUAUUUAUAGUUUUUGCACAUUCUGUAAAUAUGACAAGGUUUAAUUAAUUAAAUUAAGAUUUAAUUUGCCUUCUAAAAGUCCCUUUUCCCUAGAAACAAAUACAUUUUUUUGUCCCAUUUUUGCCGAAUAAUAAUCUAUGCGUUAUAACACAUCAGCUGCCUGGUUAUGUGCAUACUUAAUAAUUAUAUUUAUCAAUCACGCGAGUGUUUUAUACGCUUUUCUUUAAGCGUUUUAUUUCUACUUUCUCUUUAAAAGCACGAACAGAGCGGAAGCUUAGCAUGGGAGAAUACUAACGACAGCUCGAACCUAAAAUUCUGUCCGAUAUUGUCCGAGUGAAUAUUUAAAAUCAGGAUCCUGCGUGAGAAAUGCUCGCAUAAAAAUUAAACCCGGAUUUAAAAAAAAAAGUUUGAAUUUGUUUUCACGUUUGACAUCCAGGGCGGAGCUUAAGAUACAUUUAAUCAGAUCAUUAAUCACGUAUUUAAUGGACAGUUAAGGGUUCUACAUUACGGGUUCUACGUUUUUUUAUACGGUUCUACGGAGUGACAAAUGAAAGAAGGAACACCGGUGGUGAUGUCACACGAUUAGGCUUGUGAUUGGUUGCAACUCGAGCGUGCAAAUUAAGCUCCGCCCCCGAUGAAGCCUGUCACGCUGUGAAAUCAGGCUGUGCUCCACUAACACGUUUUAAAUUCCUAUCUCUGAUGUUAAAAGCUCAGCUGGAUGAGUGUGAGAGAGAGACAGAGAGAGAGAGAGAGAGAGAGAGAGUGUGUGUGUGUGUGUGUGUGUGUGUGUGUGUGUACUGGAAUGAACGGAGGCAGAAAGUCUGGCAGCGUCUCUGAUUGAUACAACAACAUUACUGUAACUACAGCGGGGUCCAAAAGUCUGAGUCCACUACCAGGAACUGGUUUUUAUUCCAUCAGGUAUCAAACACUCAGAUCAGAUUUUACUCCUCGGAUCCUCAUCGCUUCAACAUUCCAACAUCCUCCUCCUCCUCACACACACACACACACACACACACACACACACACUGAAGAUCGUUAUAUCUAACAGCUGCGGAGAUGUUUAUGUGAAAGCGCUCGUUCUGACAUGUUACGGUUUCUAUAGUAACGGCUCACUCACGGGGACGUGAAAAAUCGAUAUGGAAGCUACGUUUUCUUGCAAUAAGGAGAUGAUUAUUUAACUUUUAAGGAAGGAGUCUCCGGUGUCAGAGGUAACACUGUAACGUCUGCAAAAUCUUCAGGACAGAGGUUUACGUUUACGCUUCUACAAGGGUUUCUCGGCGACAAAAGUUGUUUUUUUUUUGCGUCUCAUUAGCUUCAAGCGUGAGAACAGAGAGAGGGACGGUGAGGGAACGACUAUACAUGAUACUAUAUACGUUAUAGCUGUUAUAACAUAAGUGAGAACAGGAACUGACUUGUUAAAUGGACAGAAAGUAUGACGUUCUUUAAUAAAAAAAUUUUUUAAAAAGUAAUCGUUGAAAAAUCUUUGCUAAAACAUUUCGGGACGGUAACCGUUACUCUGCUGCAUCACUGAUUAUUUUAAUGUAUAACACCAUCAGCCCGCUUCAGUUAAGUUCCCUUUCUAGUACCUCCGAGUACCCUUUUUAAAUAAUUAAAAAAAAACAAAAAAACAGAUUGUGUGGCGUGUCAUUUCCUUUCCCACGUGUGCGGGAGGUAUCUUCCACAGACGGUGUGACCUGAAGAUAAGGAGAUCAGCGCUUAGCUCUGGUUCGACCCCUCGGUGCCUCAGUGUGUUAUGCGUUACAUCAUUUCCUCCCAACAGCCAACAGGACACGCCGUAGUGGACUGACAUCACCACGGCUGACUAAUCCCACUCGAAACACAAGUACUGUUACGUCCCAAAAACUGUCUACUGCGUUCACUGGCUAGCUAAAUCAGAUGGAAAUGUAGCUAGCAUGACUACAAUUAUUACGCAGCUAGAGUAGAUAAAGUUUGUAGCUUGUUUUCUUUGAAGUUUACCGCUAAAGUAAAUAUAGAAUACAGAGAUCAAUUUGAGUCUGUAGCUAUUAACUUAAAGGAGGACAAUGUUUUAACGUGGAUAUUUUUAGCUAGCUAACCAUGCAUGCUAACAGAUUCAAAGUAACGCUGUGUUUGACUAGCGAUUGGGACUCGUAAACGCGAAACCACACCCCUCUACUCAAUUCCUACUCAAGAACGUCUCUCAAACCGGCGUCAAAACAAAAUGACCGCUCACAGCGUAAACAGGUAACACAGCAGCACUUCUUUACUGUCAAAUGAGUUAUAUAUAUGUGUAUAUACGGUGUGUAUAUAUAUACACACACCGUAUAUACACAUAUAGACUUCAGAUCAAUCAACAUACAGAUAUAUUCUCUCGCUCACUCUGGAACCCCGACUCUACCGUUACAGGUACAUAUAACAUCACUCAUCACAGUUAGCUGGCUAGCGUUCGGCUAACAAACGGCGUCCGUGUUUUUCCCCCCAUUUUAAAGCCCGAACGUUAAAUCACGGAGGUUUUAAACGGCGUCACGGCUUCCCGCUUCUGAGGGAAGUCGAACGCCGCGUGGGGUAGCUAGCCAGAGCUAACAGCGGCCGUUCGGAUCGGGGCGUUUUCUUAAUUUUGCGAGUGAAAAUGAAGAGCCGUCUUAAUUAUUAAAAAAAUACGAAUGAAUCCGUCUAAAUGACUCAAAUUCGGCUGAAAACUAGCCGUCCUAAAAAAAACCCCACAUGACUGAAUUAAUAUUAAUAGUAAAAGAGUGGCGCGUUUUAAAAAGAUUUAAAAAAAACAAACAAAACCCGCGAGUCCUUCUUCAAUCUUAUAACACCAGAUAAACGAGUUAGCAUGAAGCCGAAACUUCGAAACUUCCACGUUUCUCCUCACCACGGGCCGAGUUUCUGAAGCUGACGUGAUUCGAUAUGAUUAACUCGAGGGAAUAAACGCUCACGAUCACCGUCGAUGGACACGAACGUGAAGUGAAAAAUCAAGAGAACCCCGCUGAAACAAAACAAACAAACCCCAAACAAUAGAAACCAUCACAGAAAUCGGUUGGAUGAUGGUUUCCACUAUAAACACCAUUAAAACCAUAAACAAACGUAGUCUGUUUUGGUCCGAAUUCUAUUAGCAUUUAACAGUUUGUAUUGGUUUCCAUUAGACAUGCUAUAAACAUGCCACCUAUAGAACCCAACACCUUACCAGAACCAUUAAAACCAAUACAAUUCCCAUUAUAGCCAUUAGAACUUCUGUAAUGGUUUCUACUGACAGUGGCGCCCCAGACGAGAGAGCUACCAGACUAUUUUGCGAUUCCUGAGACGCGGAAUGUUUUGCGGAAUAUAUCUCAGGAUCGAACUGUUUUAGGUCGAAACUUUCCCUCCAAAGACCCCACACACUCCGUUUCACAUAAAUCAGUGUGUUUGAACAGAGUCGUGUUUGGCGUCAGGCCUGUACAUGCUUCCAAAACACACACACACACACACAUAUACACACACACACGCGUUCUCAUCAGGACAUUUCUCAUUAUUUCUCAUUAUUUCUCGUUACUGUAGUGAGCGCGCGCUGCCAAGUAGCUGUAAGUGUUGAUUUAUUGGCGUAAACAGCAGCGCUGUGUAUAAAGACCUGAAAAAGUGGCGCUUCCUCUUCCCGCUACACGGAGGCGAUCCGCCGGGACGCGAUCGGUGUGUGAGGUUUGCUUUGUUAUUUCUCAUUUCUGCGCUAGAACGCCACACUUAUUGCACUUUUGGCUGAACUGUUCGCUGAUUCGUUUAUUAGAGAUAUCCGCUGGGGAUUCGUUUGGCUCUGUGAUGUCUGUAAUAAUAUUUUCACCUACGUGAAGUAAACGCAGGACGACAGACGUUUCCGUGACGAUAACGCCGUCGCAUCGUGCCUUAGACACGUUCGUGGAUUGGAUACGGAUGAUAUUACUGAUCGUUUACGCGCGUCAAUAACACACGAAGUGGAUGAUUCGUGUACAACCGGACGCUCUGGAGCGAGUCAUUCCUCGUAACCACGGCGACGGGCCGAGGAUGACGACGUUUCCGUUAUUAAGGGAGGACACACGGAGCGUCGAGUUAAGAGUUAAUGUGGGAGAGGCGAGUUACUUCCUGUUGUCACUUACGUUAUAGCAGCGACACUAAACAGUCGUUCCUUCAUCGUCCUCUUUUCCCUUUCUCUCGACGUUAAUAAACACGAGAACAAAACACCAAACUAGAUCUCUCGUUACAGAGAAACCGCGAAAACCAGCGUAGACGCGUCUGUCCCGUCUUUCUCUCUCUCUGUCUCUCUCACUCGCUCUCUUUCUCACUCACUCACUCACUGUCUGUCAUGUGUCUCCUGCUGUUCUCUCUCUCCUUCUCUCUCUCUCACUCUCUCUCUCUCCCCUU